CCCCUUUCCUUCCCCUCCCAAGGCUCCCCCCUUCCUCCUCUUCCCCCAGAAGCUCCCCCUCCUCCCGAGGCUCCCCCCUUCUUUCUCUCCCAUCUCUCGAGGCUCCCCCUUUCCUCCCCCAUUCCUCCCCACGAGGCUCCUCCCUUCCUCCCCCCCAAGGCUCCCCCUCCCCUUUCAUUCGCCCCCUCCCCGACCCCCGUCCUUGCUCGGCCGGUCCUGCCCUGUCCUUUCCUGCCCUGUCCUGUCCUGUCCUGCCCUGCCCUGUCGGGUCCUGUCCCGUCCGGUCCCGUCGGGUCCUGUCGUCGGGUCCCGUCCUGUCCCGCCGGUGCGACCCGCGCCUCCGUGGCGUUGGGCUCGCCGGUGGGCGGCGGCCGGGCGGGAGGAGCCCGGAGCGGCGGGGGCGGGGGCGUCCAGCACACUUUCCCCGCCCCCCUGCCGCGGGCGGGGGGCUGCCACCGCUCUCCGUGUGCGGGCUCUCUGUGUGCCUGUGCUGUGCGUGCGGUGGUGCGUGUGCGGUUGUGCGGUUGGGGGGGGGGGGGGGGCGGUGCCCGGCCGCGGCUCCUUGGGGAGGAGGGGGUGGGCAAAGGGGGGGCUCCUCGGCCGGCAGCCCCCUCCCACCGGCCCCCCGACCGACCCGGGACCCCCGGAGCCCCGGCCUCCGGACCGGACCAGAGAUGCACCGACCGCCGCGGCCCGGACCCUUCUCCCUCCUCCUCCUCCUGCUCCUGCUGCCCCUGCCCUCCUCCUCCUCCUCCUCCUCCUCCUCCUCCUCGUCGUCGUCGCCCCUGCCAACGCUGCCCCUGCUCCUGCUGCUGCUCCUGCUGGAGGUAGGGGCUUCCCGGACCCGCAGACCCCCUUCCCCAUCCCCCUUGCCCACCUCAGGAGGCCUGGCCGAGCAUCCCCCGGCCCUGCCCGCCGAAGGACGUGCCAGGAAACCCGGGACAGGCGGUUUCCCCGGCGAUCACCGUUCAUGCUUUCCCUUCUUUCCUGGAGAAGCUCUGGGGGACGAGGAAAGGGGGCCCUCCCCUCGUUGCCUUUGUUUUUCAUAAAAGAUGUGCAGAGAGAAGCCUCAGGCGUUGCCUCCCUCCAGCGUCCUGGGCCAGAUCUCUAGGCUGGUCUGUAAAUCGGA
rnacentral:lncRNA from 1 species